CCGCCAGAACAUUACAAGUGAAAAACUUAAAACUCAAAGGACUUGGCGGUGUCCCACCUCGACCUAGAGGAGCCUGUCCUAUAAUCGAUACCCCCCGCUCAACCUAACCUCCACUAGCACACUUCAGCCUAUAUACCGCCGUCGACAGUCUACCCCAUGAGGGAGAAAUAGUAGACAAAAUAGCAAUUAUAUCGCUAAUACGUCAGGUCAAGGUGUAGCAAAUGUUGAGGAAGUGAUUGGCUACAUUUUUUGCCACANUAUAACCGAAAUACAACAUGAAAUCAUGUACGAAGGUGAAUUUAGUAGUAAAAU
rnacentral:rRNA from 1 species